UGAAUACGAGACGCUAAGGCGUCGAAGUAGUGUAUGUCAUACUUCCAAGAAAAGCUUGCACUGUCAUAGAUAAAAAACGCCUGUACCAUAACCGACACAGGUGGGUAGGUAGAGUAUACUAAGGGGCGCGAGAUAACUCUCUCUAAGGAACUCGGCAAAAUAACUCCGUAACUUCGGGAGAAGGAGUGCCUUAUUCGUAAGGUUGCAAUAACAAGAUCCAAGCAACUGUUUAUCAAAAACACAGGUCUCCGCUAAGUCGUAAGACGAUGUAUGGGGGCUGACGCCUGCCCAGUGCCAGAAGGUUAAAGAAGUUGGUUAGCAAUUGCGAAGCUGAUAACUGAAGCCCUGGUGAACGGCGGCCGUAACUAUAACGGUCCUAAGGUAGCGAAAUUCCUUGUCGGGUAAGUUCCGACCCGCACGAAAGGCGUAAUGAUUUGGAUACUGUCUCGGAGAGGGGCUCGGUGAAAUAGACUUGUCUGUGAAGAUGCGGACUACCUGCACCAGGACAGAAAGACCCUAUGAAGCUUUACUGUAACUUGAAAUUGAAAUUGGACUAUAUUCGCGCAGUAUAGGUGGGAGGCGUUGAUUAUAAUCUUGUGGGAUUAUUGGAGCCAUCAGUGAGAUACCACUCUUGUAAUGUUAGAUUUCUAACUUUGAAUCAUUAUCUGGUCAAAGAACGGUUUCAGGCGGGCAGUUUGACUGGGGCGGUCGCCUCCUAAACGGUAACGGAGGCGUACAAAGGUUUCCUCUGAACGGUUAGAAAUCGUAUCUAGAGUGUAAAGGCAUAAGGAAGCUUGACUGUGAGACCUACAAGUCGAGCAGGGACGAAAGUCGGUCUUAGUGAUCUGACGGUACUGAGUGGAAAGGCCGUCACUCAACGGAUAAAAGUUACUCUAGGAUAACAGGCUGAUCUCCCCCAAGAGUUCACAUCGACGGGGAGGUUUGGCACCUCGAUGUCGGCUCAUCGCAUCCUGGGGCGGUAGUACGUCCCAAGGGUUGGGCUGUUCGCCCAUGAAAGCGGUACGCGAGCUGGGUUCAGAACGUCGUGAGACAGUUCGGUCCAUAUCCGGUGUAGGCGUUAGAAUAUUGAGAGGAGCCUUCUUUAGUACGAGAGGACCGAGAAGGACAUACCUCUGGUGUACCAGUUAUCGUGCCAACGGUAAACGCUGGGUAGCUAUGUAUGGAGUGGAUAACCGCUGAAAGCAUCUAAGUGGGAAGCCCACCUCAAGAUAGUAUUCUCAUC
rnacentral:rRNA from 1 species